CUGCACAUAGCCUCCCGAGCUCAUCUGAACUUUUUCACAUGAAGUUAGCAGCCCAAAAGACCGUGCUAUAUGUUACACCGCUAAGUGUUGCAGCUUACUUAGCCCUUUUGUACCUUCUAUGCAUGGCUUAUCUGUGUCAAAUCAACAGCUGAAUCC
rfam:Capsicum annuum cultivar Zunla-1 chromosome 1, whole genome shotgun sequence